ACCACCCCCUCCGCAUUAGUAGUGGCUUCGAAAAGUAUUGACGUCGGGAGGAAGGACUUCGUUGACCUAACAAGUCACAUGGCCUUCGUCAGCUCCGAUGUUAUUGACGGCUACCAGCAUUUACUCAAGGAGGCGGAAGGCCACAGGUGCAUAUACUCCACGACCUUCCUUUAUCAGACCCUAGGGAGUGCAAUGAGCCCCGAGAUGUUUUUGGACGACAUCACCGAGGGUAGGAUCAGUGAAGCGAAGUACUGGUUCAUCACGCUCUUCAACUUCGAACACUAGCAUUUGCUGGCGGUUGAUCUCCAAGACGGGAAGUACCUCCACUUAUCGUCCAUUAAAAACCCUAAAUACAACGCGGGGUUUGAAAAAGCAUUCAUAGGAAAUUAUUAGCAACAAAAAUUUUCCGAUUUGUUUCGGCGCCGCGGUACCCCUCCCGUCGACUGGGAGAAGAUCAAUAUGGAAGACAUCCCGAUGCAAGAUCAGUCAAAUGACUGCACAAUCUUCCUUUUAGCAUACGAGGAAUACUUGCAGAAGGGGUGGAACUUGGACUUCUCCCAGAAGGAUUUGACGAUGAGACGCGGCGAGAUAGCAGCAGAAUUCUUGCGUCUUUUUUACUCGUAAUAAUUCGAGGCUGAUUUGAGUUACAGUUCUUUCAUUUGUACUGUCAUUUUUUUCACACUAAGACGAAUUGGUGUACAUAUUGUAAUUCUCAUUACCUUUGUUAUAAAGAAAUGAAUAGAAUUUUACUUGUAA